ensembl:lncRNA
GGUUGACUACCCUACGCCACUUCCCGACGGGGACGGUGGAGAGUUGCGAGUUAGAGUCUCGGCAACCAGUCGGGUUAGAGGCCCGAGGACUUAGGGGCACCUCGAAGUAUUUAUUGUGUGUAAAGGUUCAUCUGGGUUAGAGUCCCGGGGAGUUUUAGAACUCCCCAAAUUCUGUAUCUGGGUUAGAGUCCCGGGGAGUUUUAGAACUCCCCAAAUUCUGUAUCUGGGUUAGAGUCCCGGGGAGUUUUGGAACUCCCCAAAUUCUGUAUCUGGGUUAGAGUCCCGGGGAGUUUUAUAACUCCCCAAAUUCUGUAUUGGGUUAGAGUCCCGGGGAGGUUUAGAACUCCCCAAAUUCUGUAUUGGGUUAGAGUCCCGGGGAGUUUUAGAACUCCCCAAAUUCUGUAUCUGGGUUAGAGUCCCGGGGAGUUUUAUAACUCUCCAAAUUCUGUAUUGGGUUAGAGUCCCGGGGAGUUUUAUAACUCCCCAAAUUCUGUAUCUGGGUUAGAGUCCCGGGGAGUUUUAGAACUCCCCAAAUUCUGUAUCUGGGUUAGAGUCC